rnacentral:rRNA from 1 species
CAGCCGCCGCGGUAAUACCGGCGGCCCGAGUGGUGGCCGCUAUUAUUGGGCCUAAAGCGUCCGUAGCCGGGCCCGUAAGUCCCUGGCGAAAUCCCACGGCUCAACCGUGGGGCUUGCUGGGGAUACUGCGGGCCUUGGGACCGGGAGAGGCGGGGGGGACCCUGGGGGUGGGGGGGAAACCUAUAAUCCCAGGGGGACCGCCAGUGGCGAAGGCGCCCCGCUGGAACGGGUCCGACGGUGAGGGACGAAGGCCAGGGGAGCAAACCGGAUUAGAUACCCGGGUAGUCCUGGCUGUAAAGGAUGCGGGCUAGGUGUCGGGUGAGCUUCGGGCUCGCCCGGUGCCGUAGGGAAGCCGUUAAGCCCGCCGCCUGGGGAGUACGGCCGCAAGGCUGAAACUUAAAGGAAUUGGCGGG